GACGAACGCUGGCGGCGCGCUUAACACAUGCAAGUCGAACGGAAAGGCCUGCUUUCCCUUGUGGAUUGCGGGUACUCGAGUGGCGAACGGGUGAGUAACACGUGAGUGAUCUGCCCCCAACUUGGGUAUAAGCCUGGGAAACUGGGUCUAAUUCCCGAUAGGACUGCAGGGUGGUGCCUGUGGUGGAAAACGAUGUUCUAGUGGUUGGGGAUGAGCUCGCGGCCUAUCAGCUUGUUGGUGGGGUAAUGGCCUACCAAGGCGGCGACGGGUAGCCGGCCUGGGAGGGUGGACGGCCACAGUGGGACUGAGAUACGGCCCAGACUCCUACGGGAGGCAGCAGUGGGGAAUAAUGCACAAUGGGCGGAAGCCUGAUGCAGCGACGCCGCGUGGGGGAUGACGGCCUUCGGGUUGUAAACUCCUUUCGACCGCGAGGAAGCCACCUGGUUGGAGGGGUGGUGACGGUAGUGGUAGAAGAAGCACCGGCUAACUACGUG
rnacentral:rRNA from 1 species